rnacentral:tRNA from 1 species
CCGUAGCUCAAUGGUCAGAGCAGGGGACUCAUAAUCCCUUGGUUGCAGGUUCGAUUCCUGCCGGGCC